AACGAACGCUGGCGGCAUGCCUAACACAUGCAAGUCGAACGAGACCUUCGGGUCUAGUGGCGCACGGGUGCGUAACGCGUGGGAACCUGCCCUUAGGUUCGGAAUAACUCCCCGAAAGGGGUGCUAAUACCGGAUAAUGUCUUCGGACCAAAGAUUUAUCGCCUUUGGAUGGGCCCGCGUUGGAUUAGCUAGUUGGUAGGGUAAAAGCCUACCAAGGCGACGAUACAUAGCUGGUCUGAUAGGAUGAUCAGCCACACUGGGACUGAGACACGGCCCAGACUCCUACGGGAGGGAGCAGUGUGGAAUAUUGGACAAUGGGCGAAAGCCUGAUCCAGCAAUGCCGCGUGAGUGAUGAAGGCCUUAGGGUUGUAAAGCUCUUUUACCCGGGAUGAUAAUGACAGUACCGGGAGAAUAAGCUCCGGCUAACUCCGUG
rnacentral:rRNA from 1 species